CGGGUGUGGUGGGCCGCUGGG
rnacentral:miRNA from 1 species